GAUGAACGCUGGCGGCGUGCCUAACACAUGCAAGUCGAGCGAAGCGAUUUAGCGGAAGUUUUCGGAUGGAAGUUAAAUUGACUGAGCGGCGACGGGUGAGUAACGCGUGGUAACCUGCCUCAUACAGGGGGAUAACAGUUAGAAAUGACUGCUAAUACCGCAUAAGCGCACAGCAUCGCAUGAUGCAGUGUGAAAAACUCCGGUGGUAUGAGAUGGACCCGCGUCUGAUUAGCUAGUUGGUGAGGUAACGGCUCACCAAGGCGACGAUCAGUAGCCGACCUGAGAGGGUGAUCGGCCACAUUGGGACUGAGACACGGCCCAAA
rnacentral:rRNA from 1 species